UGCUCAGCAACUUCUAUCCCUACCUCCUUUUGAUACUGGCCGGGGUACAAGUAACCUUAGGGAAGA
rfam:Aedes aegypti strain Liverpool supercont1.126 genomic scaffold, whole genome shotgun sequence.